rnacentral:ncRNA from 2 species
GAAGAUAAGGGCGAUGGAGUUCGCCAUUAACUGCCGCGAGGCUAAUGACUCCUACCAGCGA